ensembl:snoRNA SNORA66 Small nucleolar RNA SNORA66
GUGCAGACCCCAUCACUGGCUCUGUGUGAUGUGGCAGAAGCGAAGGGAGACAGGUUUGCUAAAGUAAUUGUGGUGAUAGAAAUGUCUGAGCCUCAGAGGCUGCUGAGGGAGCCCAUUCUAUCCCAGGACGGAG